AGAGGACUGUUCUUGUUCCACUCCUGCUUUUCUGCUUUGUAUUUUGAGCAAACGUUCUUUCUGGGUAACUGCAGGUGGGAAGGUCCCCUGAUUUUCUCCAGGAGCUGCAGGAUACUCAGGCAGAAAUGGACACAGGAAUUGCUACCAGUGAGAAAAAGCUCUGCUCAAAGGAAAAGUCCUGCUGAGAUGGUGGAUGGACUCAGCUCCUGCUCAGCUGUUGUGAGCAAUCACUCUGGCUGCAGGGGAGAAGUAAGACUCCGUAAGCACCUGCCACAAAAGAAUAGGUGUAAACUUACCACUGAACAAGACAAAACUACUGUGCUACAUGGCUUUGACUACCAUUCACACUGAGCAGAACUCUUCUAAUCUGCAAAUACUGCAAAAUAAAAAGGUAACUUUGCAGUAUUUGUAUGCUUCUUGAAAUGACGCUGCUUCUGGAAUUCCUUGUUUAUCACAUCCCACAGACUGCCAAGCCAAAUCUGCCCUACUUUGAAAUAAAUCAUAAAUUCAAAUUGUUUCAAUCCAGUCCUGAAAACCUCCCCAGGAAUCUAACAGUCCAGGUGGCUGGCUGCGUCAAUAGGAGAGACUUCAAAGAUCUGAAGUUAGAACUGAAUGAGCAGAACAACAGGCGCCAGUUAACCCAGACAGACCCCAUCCUUCCUCCGCCAAAUGACAGUGGAGGGAGGGGGGAUGGGAAAGGCAGCAAGUUGUUGCAAAAGGAUUGUAAUCAUUGGAGACUGCAGAUUUGAUUCUGAAUGGAUCAACGGGCUUUGAUUAAGCAUCAGGAUGCUUUUCCUCUCUCUUGCUCUUUUCUCCAUUUUUCAGUGCAGAAGAAACCCUUGGGUCCAGUACCAAACCCUAAUGAAGACUACCAUCAAUUCAAUAAGCUCAGUAUGACACUUUCUUAAUGACUUUAUGCCCUUCGUCAUAAUGCAGCCACAAAACGAAGUGAUAUUCUGAGUGCAGCAAGAAGAUUAAUUCCAACUCUGCAUGCUAAGAGAAAAAUCCACGGCUCUGUCAUUGUGUAAACAAAAAAUGUAAAUAAAGGAAAAAUUAAGAUGUUU
ensembl:lncRNA